UACGGGGGGGGUAAGCGUUGUUCGGAAUUACUGGGCGUAAAGGGCUCGUAGGCGGCCAACUAAGUCGGACGUGAAAUCCCCGAGCUCAACUCGGGAACUGCGUCCGAUACUGGCAGGCUUGAAUCCGGGAGAGGGAUGCGGAAUUCCAGGUGUAGCGGUGAAAUGCGUAGAUAUCUGGAGGAACACCGGUGGCGAAGGCGGCAUCCUGGACCGGCAUUGACGCUGAGGCGCGAAAGCCAGGGGAGCAAACGGG
rnacentral:rRNA from 1 species